GAUGGCAGCACUCAAUGAUGUUCGGCAGUACCUGAGUGUUGAAGGAGUACAGGUGGCGGUCUUUGAUGCCACAAAUACAACAAGAGAAAGAAGAGGGACCAUCGUCAAGUUCGCUGAGCAGAAUGGGUUCAAGGUGUUGUGUGUGGAAUCUGUGUGUGAGGACCCA